ensembl:lncRNA
AUUUAUUAUACUUUAAAUUAUCAUUUAUUUCUGUGAUGCGAAGCUGAAUUUUUAGUAUCAUCAUCACAUGAUCCUUUAGAAAUCAUUCUAAUAUGAUGAUUCAUUAUCAAAGUUGGAAACAGUUCUGCUGCUUAAUAUUUUUUCAGAACAUGUGAUACUUUUUUAGGAUACUUUGAUGAAUACAAAGUAAAAAAAAAAAAAAAAGCUAUGUUUUUUUAAAAUAUAAAUAUUUUGUAAUAACAAUAUACACUACUGGUCAGUAAUUUGGGGUCAGUCAUUUUUUUUCUUUCUUUUUUUAAAUAAAAUCGAUACUUUUAUUCAGCAAGGAUGUGUUAAAUUGAUAAAAAGUGAUAGUAAAGAAAAUAUAUUAUUAGAAUAUAUAUUAUUAGAAUUUUAUUUUUAUUUUUUUAAUAAAUGCAGUUCUUUUUAACCUUUUCUUCAUCAAAUAUAUUAGACAGCAGAACUGUUUCCAACACUCAUAAUAAAUCAGAAUAUUAGAAUGAUUUCUAAAUGAUCAUGUGAUAGACUGGAUGUUACAUGUGACACUGAAGGCUGGAGUAAUGAUGCUGAAAAUUCAUCACAGGAAUAAAUUAUUUUUUUAAAGUAUAUUCAAAUAGAAAACUAUUAUUUUAAGUUGUAAUAAUAUUUCACAAUAUUACUGUUUUUUCUGUAUUUUUGAUCAAAUAAAUGCAGGCUUGAUGAGCAGAAGAGACUUCUUCCAAAAACAUAAAAAUAGUAAUGUUUCCAAACUUUUGACCUGUACUGUAUAUAUAUAUAUAUACUGUAUAUAUAACUACACACACACAUAUCUACACUAUAUAUCUACUAUAAGCAAAGCUAAAUAGAUUGUUGCCACUGUGUUUCGGUGUGAAAUAUGAGCUGGAUGUGUUCUUGUGAGAUUCAUCAACGGGUCAAUAUUACCUCUUAUUAAACAGAUAAUUACUGUAGUAACGCUAACGUCAUCAAACACUAACCGGAUUAAUGAAGGACUCAUUAAAGUUCAUGAACUUUAUGAAACAAAGCCACUCAAAUGAAGACAGAAGAUCGUUCAGAAGCCAAACGACCUUUGACCUUUCACCGGAUGAGUGAUAUCUGUCAUAUUCUCAAUGUCUGCCAGUAUCAUCAUCAUCAUCCUUGUUCACUUCUCUUUAUUAUUUUUUUACUCUAAAAGCUAUUUUUAUGUACGAUACCAGUUAAUCGUUAUUUUUUCAUUAUUUUUCUAUAUACUGUGUUUUUGCCGGAUUUGUGUUGAAGGUCAUUUAUUUUGCUCGUGAUGAAUGUGUUGGGGUUUUAUAUUACAAAGAGUUACACUGAAGCAUUUUACAGUUAUUUAAAGCCAUCAGAACAUUACUUUGUAGCCUUGUUUCAUCAAAACCAAAACGUUUCGGUUCCUAACAUGAAGUCUCUGAGUAUUACGAAGAACAUGUAGCUGUAUCAUAGACUUCAUAUCAUGAGAAUGUACUGCUGAACUAUGACUAGGCAUUAUGAAACUAACCUGAUUAAAACACACAAAACCACCUGCAGUGUGUGUGUGUGUGUGUGAGAGAGAGUGUGUGUGUGUGUGAGAGAGAGAGAGUGUGUGUGUGAGUGCGAAAGAGAGUGUGUGUGUGUGAGUG